CCUUCUCUUCGUCGGCGAGCCUCCAUCUCAUUCCGUCUUCCGUCGAGCCUCCUUCUCAUUCCGUCUUCAAUCGAGCCGGCGAGCCGCAUCUCAUCCCUCAAAGUGGUGGUGUCGUUAAGGUGGUGAAUAUAUAUGAUAUUGAGGACGAUGUCGAAGAUGAAGAUGAUGCAAGAUUGUAUAUGGGAGCAAAUGUUGUGUGUAUUGAUUGAGAUUUGUGUAUUUCUUUAAGUAAUUUAUGGUGAAAUUAUUAAUUUUCGGUAUUUAAGAACGUUCUAAAAAUACUUUUAUUGUUAGUUUGAGAACAUUGAUAAACAUGUCAUAUAAACAAGAUUUUUUUUAUUAUUUUAUUA